rnacentral:rRNA from 1 species
AGGGCACCACCAGGAGUGGAGCCUGCGGCUUAAUUUGACUCAACACGGGGAAACUUACCCGGCCUGGACACUGGAAGGAUUGACAGAUUGAGAGCUCUUUCUUGAUUCAGUGGGUGGUGGUGCAUGGCCGUCCUUAGUUGGUGGAGCGAUUUGUCUGGUUAAUUCCGAUAACGAACGAGACUCUAGCCUAUUAAAUAGGCUCCCGGCUUUUAAACGCCGGGAGGACUUCUUAGAGGGACAGGUGGCGGUUCAGCCGCACGAAAGAGAGCAAUAACAGGUCUGUGAUGCCCUUUGUUGUCCGGGGCCGCACGCGCGCUACACUGAAGAGAUCGGCGUGCUUUAUGUUCCUGCUCCGACCGGAGUGGGGAACCCAGUGAACCUUCUUCGUGAUUGGGAUAGAAGAUUGUAAUUAUUCUUCUUGAACGAGGAAUUCCCAGUAAAUGCGAGUCAUAAGCUCGCGUUGAUUACGUCCCUGCCCUUUGUACACACCGCCCGUCGCUACUACCGAUUGAACGAUUU